rnacentral:rRNA from 1 species
GAAGGUUGGGUAACACUAACUGGAGGACCGAACCGACUAAUGUUGAAAAAUUAGCGGAUGACCUGUGGCUGGGGGUGAAAGGCCAAUCAAACCGGGAGAUAGCUGGUUCUCCCCGAAAGCUAUUUAGGUAGCGCCUCGUGAAUUCAUCUCCGGGGGUAGAGCACUGUUUCGGCUAGGGGGCCAUCCCGGCUUACCAACCCGAUGCAAACUGCGAAUACCGGAGAAUGUUAUCACGGGAGACACACGGCGGGUGCUAACGUCCGUCGUGAAGAGGGAAACAACCCAGACCGCCAGCUAAGGUCCCAAAGUCAUGGUUAAGUGGGAAACGAUGUGGGAAGGCCCAGACAGCCAGGAUGUUGGCUUAGAAGCAGCCAUCAUUUAAAGAAAGCGUAAUAGCUCACUGGUCGAGUCGGCCUGCGCGGAAGAUGUAACGGGGCUAAACCAUGCACCGAAGCUGCGGCAGCGACACUGUGUGUUGUUGGGUAGGGGAGCGUUCUGUAAGCCUGUGAAGGUGUGUCGUGAGGCAUGCUGGAGGUAUCAGAAGUGCGAAUGCUGACAUAAGUAACGAUAAAGCGGGUGAAAAGCCCGCUCGCCGGAAGACCAAGGGUUCCUGUCCAACGUUAAUCGGGGCAGGGUGAGUCGACCCCUAAGGCGAGGCCGAAAGGCGUAGUCGAUGGGAAACGGGUUAAUAUUCCCGUACUUGGUGUUACUGCGAAGGGGGGACGGAGAAGGCUAUGUUGGCCGGGCGACGGUUGUCCCGGUUUAAGCGUGUAGGUGUGUGUUCCAGGUAAAUCCGGUUCACUUUAACACUGAGGCGUGACGACGAGGCACUACGGUGCUGAAGCAACAAAUGCCCUGCUUCCAGGAAAAGCCUCUAAGCAUCAGGUAACAUCAAAUCGUACCCCAAACCGACACAGGUGGUCAGGUAGAGAAUACCAAGGCGCUUGAGAGAACUCGGGUGAAGGAACUAGGCAAAAUGGUGCCGUAACUUCGGGAGAAGGCACGCUGACACGUAGGUGAAGUGAUUUACUCAUGGAGCUGAAGUCAGUCGAAGAUACCAGCUGGCUGCAACUGUUUAUUAAAAACACAGCACUGUGCAAACACGAAAGUGGACGUAUACGGUGUGACGCCUGCCCGGUGCCGGAAGGUUAAUUGAUGGGGUCAGCGCAAGCGAAGCUCCUGAUCGAAGCCCCGGUAAACGGCGGCCGUAACUAUAACGGUCCUAAGGUAGCGAAAUUCCUUGUCGGGUAAGUUCCGACCUGCACGAAUGGCGUAAUGAUGGCCAGGCUGUCUCCACCCGAGACUCAGUGAAAUUGAACUC